CACGUAGGGGCCGAGCGUUGUCCGGAGUUACUGGGCGUAAAGGGCGCGCAGGCGCCACGUACAUCUCUGGUGAAAGCCCCGGGCUCAACCCGGGAGGGUCCAGGGAGAUGGCGUGGCUGGAGGCAGGGCGAGGGCGGUGGAAUUCCGGGUGUAGUGGUGAAAUGCGUAGAGAUCCGGAGGAACACCAGUGGCGAAGGCGGCCGCCCUG
rnacentral:rRNA from 1 species